GAGUCCGAGUUGUAAUUUGCAGAGGGCGCUUUGGCUUUGGCAGCGGUCCAAGUUCCUUGGAACAGGACGUCACAGAGGGUGAGAAUCCCGUACGUGGUCGCUAGCUAUUGCCGUGUAAAGCCCCUUCGACGAGUCGAGUUGUUUGGGAAUGCAGCUCUAAAUGGGAGGUAAAUUUCUUCUAAAGCUAAAUACUGGCCAGAGACCGAUAGCGCACAAGUAGAGUGAUCGAAAGAUGAAAAGCACUUUGGAAAGAGAGUCAAACAGCACGUGAAAUUGUUGAAAGGGAAGCGCUUGCAGCCAGACUUGCUUGCAGUUGCUCACCCGGGCCUCUGUGCCCGGUGCAUUCUUCUGCAGGCAGGCCAGCAUCAGUUUGGGCGGUGGGAUAAAGGUCUCUGUCACGUACCUCUCUUCGGGGAGGCCUUAUAGGGGAGACGACAUACCACCAGCCUGGACUGAGGUCCGCGCAUUUAUGCUAGGAUGCUGGCGUAAUGGCUGUAAGCGGCCCGUCUUGAAACACGGACCAAGGAGUCUAACAUCUAUGCGAGUGUUUGGGUGUCAAGCCCGAACGCGUAAUGAAAGUGAACGGAGGUGGGAACCCGCAAGGGUGCACCAUCGACCGAUCCUGAUGUCUUCGGAAGGAUUUGAGUAAGAGCAUGGCUGUUGGGACCCGAAAGAUGGUGAACUAUGCUUGAAUAGGGUGAAGCCAGAGGAAACUCUGGUGGAGGCUCGCAGCGGUUCUGACGUGCAAAUCGAUCGUCAAAUUUGGGCAUAGGGGCGAAAGACUAAUCGAA
rnacentral:rRNA from 1 species